UAACUUUUGAACACUUAUCUUUUGUGAUGUCACUUUCUAGUUCAAUUGACAAGAAUCCAACAUUAUCAUCUUUCUCUCAUAAGAACUUUUGUUGGUGCCCCCUUCCCAAUUUCUAAUACAAGAAGAAUUAUAAUGGAUUUUGAAGUUAAAUUAUCCCCAACCCUUAUUUUCUUCAAGCCAUAUUCAUCCCAUGCUCAUGGAAAUUUAGAGGUCAAGUGCUGCACACAGUCACAAAGCAAAGAAACUACAUCUAGUGUUCAAAUAAAGAAACAGUGUUUGAGAUGCAAUACUCUUUAUUCAGAUCAACAGAAUUCUCCAGUUUCUUGCUCUUUCCACGGUCAUACAAAUGGAGACAAGGGUCUGUUUUCAUAUUAUCCACCUCACCAAGGAAUUGAUGGAUAUUGGAAAUGGAAUGAAAAGAAUAAUAGACCAAGCAUUGGUCGUGUAAAUUGGGAAAAAAUAUGGAGUUGUUGGGCUGAAUAGUAAGGGGAUGACAUGUUUGUUAGGAUGAUGGUUAGACAAAGAUAGUGACCAUUUUGAAUUAUUAACAAAGUCAGUAACCAAUUUAAAAAUAAGUUGUGUUAAUCGGUGCUCUUGGGGCACAAAUUAAGGUGAAAAAAAUGACUGGAAUUCAUAAGUUUUUUCAUAUGGUGAUUCAUUUUGUAUUCCUAUUUCUUGUUGUGUAUGGUUCGGGUAUCGCAGAGAAAGAGUGUAUUACUGACGAUGAUUGCAAUCGAAAAUAUCCGAUGCAUGCUAAUAGAGGACUGCAGUGUCUUAAUGGUGAAUGUAAGAGCUCGAGAAUAAUUAAGUCAAGAUAAGACUAGGAUUAUAUGAGAGACUCAUUAUCUGUUCAAGGAGUUAAUUAGAUUCGGGUCACAUUUUGAUGUUAGAACUAUGAUUUAUAUGAUUAUGUUAUACUACCUCCAGUUCUAUUUAUAAGAGAAAUUUAGGUCAAUAAAAGUGAAUGUAUUUGAACUGAAUUUUUAACUAGAUACAUCAACUUUUGUUGACCCAAAAUUCUCUUAUAAAUAUGACUGGAUGGAGUAUCUUUUAAAUUUUCCAUUGUGUAGUAAAUAAUUUCCAAGUUCAAAGUUAAGUAUAAGAUUUUCUCCAAAA